GACGAACGCUGGCGGCGUGCCUAAUACAUGCAAGUCGCGCGAAGCGGCGGAUGGGUGAGUAACGCGUGGGUAACCCGCCCUUAAGUCUGGGAUACCAUUUGGAAACAGAUGCUAAUACCGGAUACUAAAGGAUGGACGUGCGAUGCAUUAUCUAGUUGGUAAGGUAACGGCUUACCAAGGCGAUGAUGCAUAGGCGAGUUGGUAGGCCGAUCCGCCACAUUGGGACUGAGACACGGUCCAAACUCCGACGGGAGGCAGCAGUAGGGAAUCUGCCACAAUGGUCGAAAGUUUGAUGGAGCAACGCCGCGUGAGUGAAGAAGGUUUUCGGAUCGUAAAGCUCUUUUGUUGGUUAAGCGGUAAUCAACCAGAAAGGCACGGCUAACUACGUGCCAGCAGCCGCGGUAAUAC
rnacentral:rRNA from 1 species